AUUGAACGCUGGCGGCAGGCCUAACACAUGCAAGUCGAACGAGUAGCGGACGGUUGAGUAAUGUCUGGGACACUGCCUGAUGGAGGGGGAUAACUACUGGAAACGGUAGCUAAUACCGCAUACCAUCGGAUGUGCCCAGAUGGGAUUCGCUAGUGGGUGGGGUAAAGGCUCACCUCGGCGACGAUCCCUAGCUGGUCUGAGAGGAUGACCAGCCCCACUGGAACGUAGUCACGGUCCAGACUCCUACUGGACGCAGCAGGGGGGACUGUUGCAGUAUAGGCGCUAGCCCGAUGCAGCCAUGCCGACUGUCUGCAGAAGGCCCUCGGGUUGUACAGUCCUUCCACCGGGGCGGCGUUGCCCGCCGAAGCAGCACCGGUGAACUCCGUGCCAGCAGCCGCGGUAAUUC
rnacentral:rRNA from 1 species